rnacentral:rRNA from 2 species
ACAACUUUCAACAACGGAUCUCUUGGCUCUCGCAUCGAUGAAGAACGCAGCGAAAUGCGAUAAGUAAUGUGAAUUGCAGAAUUCAGUGAAUCAUCGAAUCUUUGAACGCAUCUUGCGCUCCUUGGUAUUCUGAGGAGCAUGCCUGUUUGAGUGUCA